ensembl:lncRNA
CUGGAACUUCCCAGCAACCAAAGAUGCGUCAACUAUGUCUGUAGCUCUUGAGGGUCUGAGCAGGCCAGUGAUGUCUUUGACUUUCAUCAUGGCCGUGUAUGCCUUGGCACUGCCUCCUGCAAAGGCUUGUGUGGGAAGAUGGCUCAGUAAAGGCAGAGGGUGGGGGAAGAAACCCCAGAACAUCCGAACCCCAGGACAGCUGGUCCACCCCAGGUUGCUGAGCCCUGCCCAGACUCAGUGGCUCAGCCACUAACCUCACUGCUGGGGUCUAGCUACUCAGCCAGACUCUGCCUCAGUUCUCUGUCUGUAAAACUGAAAGUAGAAACACCUUCCCCGCAUGGCAAAUGCUGUAAGUGUUAUUUGAAACCUGAGUACGUAGGGAAGAGAGAACAGAAGACGGGAAACCUUCCUACCGGCUGCCGAGCUGGGGUGAGCAGGACCCUGACAUUACAAUUUCCUCACCUUUAAAACUGGAGUAAAACCAUCCACUUUAUGGACUGUGAAGAUGGAAGGAAAAGCUUGAACAUGUUGCGGGUCCAAACAAGUGUGCGAUGACUGUGGCAACGAAAUGACCAGGAGACAGGGCACUCUGCACAGAACAGGGGUCUGAGUUCUCUCAGCAAAUAUCUACCAAGUGCCUGCUCCCUGCAAAGUCAGAGACAUAUCAGCAAGCAAAACAUCUCAACAUCCAUGCCCAGCAGCAUGACUCACAGUUGCCAAGUGCAGAGGCCCCUCGUGUCCAUGGAUGGAUGACUGGCAUGCAGUCCAAGGAGAGUGCGGUUCAUUCAUUCAAGGCAAUGGUAUUCCGCCUUAAGAGGAAGGAUAUUCUGACAGCUGCUGCAACAUGGAUGAACCCUGAGGUCACAGUGAUCAGCAACAGAAGCCAGCCCUGAAAGAGCAAAUAUGAUUCCCCUUACACGAGGUCCCUAGAGGAGCCAAAGUCAUGGGGACAGCAAGCUGGAAGGUGGGGGCCAGGGACUGCGGGAGGGGAUGGGAGUGGGUGUGAGAGUGAGCAGUUCAUGGGGGCAGAGUUUCGGGUUGGAAAGAUAGACACGUUUUGCAGAUGGAGCCGUGGCGAUGGUUGGACCGCAAUGUGAACAGACUUCAUGUUACUGACCCAUACAAUUAAAAAUGGUCAAAAUGGUA